UUUUUAACACAAACACCCGCUAACCGAGACCUAUGGGUGUCUAAAGCACGUCUCUCAUACCUUGUCUAAGGGUGGCAAGGAAUAGUAACUCCA
rfam:Cyanophage Syn30 genomic sequence.